rnacentral:rRNA from 1 species
GACGAACGCUGGCGGCGUGCUUAACACAUGCAAGUCGAACGGAAAGGCCCUGCUUUUGUGGGGUGCUCGAGUGGCGAACGGGUGAGUAACACGUGAGUAACCUGCCCCUGACUUUGGGAUAACUUCAGGAAACUGGGGCUAAUACCGGAUAGGAGCUCCUGCUGCAUGGUGGGGGUUGGAAAGUUUGGGCGGUUGGGGAUGGACUCGCGGCUUAUCAGCUUGUUGGUGGGGUAGUGGCUUACCAAGGCUUUGACGGGUAGCCCGCCUGAGAGGGUGACCGGCCACAUUGGGACUGAGGUACGGACCAGACUCCUACGGGCGGCAGCAGUGGGGAAUAUUGCACAAUGGGCGGAAGCCUGAUGCAGCAACGCCGCGUGCGGGAUGACGGCCUUCGGGUUGUAAACCGCUUUCGACUGUGACGAAGCGUGAGUGACGGUAAUGGGUAAAGAAGCACCGGCUAACUACGUG